rnacentral:lncRNA from 1 species
UGGGAUGGGGCCUGUCGGGGAAGACCGCGGGUCAGACCGCUUAGCCACCCCGGGAGACCCUUCGCUCCAGGCUGCGUGGUCCGCAUCGCCAACCAAGGGCGUGGAGAGCACCACCCAGAAGGGGUGGAUGAAGCGGCCUCGGGACAGCCGACUCUGCACGCCAGGUCAGGCCAGAGGCUCGCCCAGCCAGGAGAAGAGAGGAGAGCCCCAUCUAGAUGCUGCGGAAUUCGGGACCCUGAACAUGGCGACCGUGUAAGGCGGGAAAGAAAACGGGACUUCAGGGGGCUCUGGAGGGCUGGGAGAGCGCCUCAGCCAAGGGAGCUCUAAAGGAAGUGUGGUUGAGAAGGGGUGUAGCUGAGUCGUCCGCAGGAGGAGGGAGCAGAAGGAGUCGGGGACGCGGGGAAACAGUCUGUAGGACAGCAAUGGGAUAAAGCCCCUCAACCCGUCCCUCCGCCUGCCUCCGCUCCCAGCCACGUGCAGGGAGAGACAGGAAGGAGGGCCUGCAAGAGGAGAGGCGGGCUCUUAAAGGAAGCUGAGCUCGCCAUCCAAGUCCUCUGGCCUCACUGGGAGAAGCGGGGUUGGAGGGAUGUGCCGUUCCCUCUUGGGGGGAGUGGAGGUGGCAGCUGGUGCAGAAAGACUCCAUUGGUGCCAUCCUUUUCUGCACAACAGGAGAUCCAGUUACUGGAUGAGUCCUGCAGAGGGUCUCCUAGGGUGCAAGGGAAGCAGCUUGGAAACUUUUUGGCCCCUUUACAACAAACAUGCUUUACCCCCCGGUCGUGACACAUCCGUGACACUUGCCUGUUCUUUCUUUGUUCUGUGGUAUAACCUGACCUAUCCUGAGAUCAGAGAACUGCAAGAAAACACCUGGCUGAGGAUAAAGCAGCCAAAGAGAGGACAUUUCCUGUGAACCCUGGAAUUAUAAUGAAGGCAGGGGUGAUCCGAGGUGUAGAGUCCAGAAGAAGGCAUGGUCUCCAAAUGGCAAGCAAGAGCUCUGCUGGGUCUGACCCCUGUACAGCUGAGGUGGAAUGUCGGUGCAAUGCCCUCCAUCAGCAAAGGUCUCAAGGACAGAGUUUAAGAGAAAGCAAAGCAUUUCCCACCAACUCCUUACCUGAGAGCGUCUUCGUGAGAAUUCAUGGCACACAUGUCUCAGGACAGAGUAGAUGCUGCCUUCUUUACCUUUUCCCUCCUCAAGAAGCAGGAGCCAAUGCCAAGAGGUCAGGGCUCAUGUCUCCGUACUUCUCACGCCUCUUGUUGUCCCAAUUCUCACUCGAGUCGUAA